GACGAACGCUGGCGGCGUGCUUAACACAUGCAAGUCGAACGCUGAAGCUUGGUGCUUGCACUGGGUGGCUGAGUGGCGAACGGGUGAGUAAUACGUGAGUAACCUGCCCUUGACUCUGGGAUAAGCCUGGGAAACUGGGUCUAAUACUGGAUAUGACAUGCCACUGCAUGGUGGUGUGUGGAAAGGGUUUUACUGGUGUUGGAUGGGCUCACGGCCUAUCAGCUUGUUGGUGGGGUAAUGGCCUACCAAGGCGACGACGGGUAGCCGGCCUGAGAGGGUGACCGGCCACACUGGGACUGAGACACGGCCCAGACUCCUACGGGAGGAAGCAGUGGGGAAUAUUGCACAAUGGGCGGAAGCCUGAUGCAGCGACGCCGCGUGAGGGAUGACGGCCUUCGGGUUGUAAACCUCUUUCAGCACGGAAGAAGCGAGAGUGACGGUACGUGCAGAAGAAGCGCCGGCUAACUACGUG
rnacentral:rRNA from 1 species